UUUAAUGUUUGUUCUGGAAACCAUGGUGCUGUCUCACAGCAGAGUAACAGGAACUGUUGAACACCUGGUAGCUGACAGCACUACAGCUCUACUGCCAGCU